CAUGACAAAAAAAAACUCUUCUCUCCUGUUUUCUUUCUAGAGAUAGAGAUUUUCUCUCUUCUUCUCCUCUUAGCACUUUCAGAUCUUUCAGAGGGGAAAGAGAAUUGAGGUUUCUUUUGUUUUUGUUGUAUGAUACUCGAUCAUUGUCACUUCCGCGUAGUCGGAUUUUGUAUUUCGCUUGCGAUUUUAGUGUUUUCGUAAGGCGAUUUUGUGGUGUUUUGAAACCAAAUUCGAGUCUGUUCUUCAUGCUUCUCAUUUUAUACUUGUUUUGAUCUUGAUGUAAUAAAGUUCUGAUCUUGUUCAGAUCAGAUUAAACAUGCUUUUCACUAUGUUUUCACUUUAAUCCCGUUGAAGUCAGAUUCGGAUCACUUCUUCACUGUUGCUCUAACCGUUUUCUAGGAGAAUCAAUCUUCACUUUUAUUCAGCCAUCUAUGGUGUCGUGGUGAAGCAUCUCUGAUUAAAAGAAGAUUGGAGUAGUUGGAUUCUUCAAGUCGGCUUUGGAGUAGAUUCAGUAGAACUGGCGUUCUUGGAACGAUCUGGUAAAGGAUCUCUCUUCCUCUUCGACUUAAGCUUCCUUGCGCUUAAUCUUGUGAAUCAAGGUUUUUUCGGUUGGACAUUCACGGAUUUGGUGGAAAGCAAUCGCUGUUUCCGGUGGAGCUUGAAAAAUCCGGCGCCUGUAGCUGUGCAGCCGUGCAUGAAAUCCCUCUCUUGCGAUGCUACACCUAUCAACACUUGUCGUUGGCAAGCAAAUCGGUGGGAUGUGUGGUAUAGAGAAGACGUGGUUACUUUAGAAGAUAAUAAUUUGAUCUGUAUAUUUGGAUUAGGUUAACAUGGGCUUAAAAUGUAAUGGGAUUAGGUUUUUUCUAAGUUUUCACCUUAUAAAACAGCCCACAACACCUUUCAUCUUAAUGAACGAAAAUUGACAAAAAAAAAAGAGACAGGAAAAAUACAUGAGAAAUGCAGGAAAAAAUGAUAUGCAUGUCGUGAAAAAAUGAUAUGCAUGUCGUAAAAAAAU
rnacentral:lncRNA from 1 species